GAUGAAGAACGUAGCGAAAUGCGAUAAGUAAUGUGAAUUGCAGAAUUCAGUGGAUCAUCGAAUCUUUGAACGCACAUUGCGCCCUCUGGUAUUCCGGGGGGCAUGCCUGUUCGAGCGUCAUUAUAACCACUCAAGCUCUCGCUUGGUAUUGGGGUUCGCGGUUUCGCGGCCCCUAAAAUCAGUGGCGGUGCCUGUCGGCUCUACGCGUAGUAAUACUUCUCGCGAUUGAGUUCGAUAGGUCUACUUGCCAGUAACCCCCAAUUUUUACAGGUUGACCUCGGAUCAGGUAGGGAUACCCGCUGAACUUAAGCAUAUCAAUAAGCGGAGGA
rnacentral:misc_RNA from 1 species